CCAUCCCAUGUGUACAAAGCAUAUCCCUUCCUCAUUCCUCUGCUCCACCAUCUUUGAGAAGGGAAAAAUAGAUGGAGAGGCUGUACCAAAUUGAUUGGCCUGCUCGUCCAUGUGAUGGGGAGUGCCGGAGUGGCUGCACCAAAUCGAGUGGCCUGCCCGUGCAUCAACAAAGCUGGGAAGGAGAUUAUCUUGGAGGCCAGAUCUGAGCGAGGUCGGGGCACGCGUUCCAGCCGCGGAUUUGGCGCUCCCUAGCAGCGAGGCAAGGCGGUCGCCGGGGAGGCCACUGAAGAAUAUGAGUGAUCCGUAGUUGGUAACUUCCCUAAUGGCGCUGCUAUCCUGUUCGUGUCACUGGGCCAAGGAUUGUGGUGUCGGGUUUGACGGCCAUGUUCUUCAUAGUGUUCCUCAUCUUAUGUGGCAGAGUAGUGAUGGGUAUGACUGUCUUACUACUCUCCCAUCCUCCUCAUCAUUAUCUUGUUGGGCUCAGUGUACACGUACUUUAAAAUUUCAUUUACUUAGUUGAUCUGUUAAAUUUAUUCAGAGGUAAGGUUGAGUUACCUAGUUCUGGUAAAUUAUAAUACAGACGAUGAACUCAUAUAUUUUGUUGUUGUUCAUGUAAGGAUCAUUUAGGAUAUGAAUUAUAGAGUUAUUUAACUUUUCAUUGGUGUGCCUUGCAUUAUUUUAAUGAAUUGAACUUAUAUUACUUUUUCUGUUGACAUUCUGCCAACUUUGAUUAUUGUCUCUUCAACUCAUCCGUAUCAAUUAUACGAAGUUUCGUCUAGCAAAAGUUAUAUCCAUCUACUACGUAUAACACUUAUAUAUCUUUUAUUUCAUUGUCUUGUCUGCACUUCUUAACAUGUAUAUACAUGAAAGUAGUGUGAGGAAAUAUUAAUCUGCAUUAGCAUGUGAUUGGUCUCUUCACAUUUGUAGCAUGUGAUCGGUCUCUUUACAUUCGUAGAAAGUCCACAGGUGGAGGCGAGUCAUGGGCUCCCUAGUUGCUACUGCUGUCAAGUUCCACCUAUGUGAUUCGAAAAAAACUUCCACCAAUGUAAUGUGCUACUACUUUGCAUCUUUCCUACUUCCUCCACACUGUUCUUCACAGGUAUGCUUCCCGCCUCUAGUUGGAUAAAAGGUAUAUUCUCUAUUUGUUGUACCAUAUAAUAGCAAGUUAUAUCAAUGAUAUGUGUAGUUAAGACAAACGAAGAAGGUUCACAUGUAUUAACUGAAGUUGGUUCAUGUGUGUUAAUUGAUAUGCAAUAGAUUUUUCGCAUGUGUUGUAGGCGAUGCCUAUAACACUGGAGCUUUUCUCAUUAUUCUCUUCAACUGAAACAGCUGUAGGAUGGAAGAGAUGUUACCAAGAACACAACUCACAAAAGUGCAUGUCUGAAUGUAUUUCAACCUUAUAUACUAAGUGUCCUCCCUAUAUUGAUCAUGUGAUGUAUUCUUUCUCUAUCCCGGUAAACAUAAAUUAGUUGCCUUUCAAUAUUGUAAAAUAUUUGAUGCUUCUCAUAUUUUUCGUCCAAUGAGUUCAGCAAUUUUGCUACCACUGUUAUUGGUGCAGAGUAAAUAUAAUAUGAAAGUUCUUGUUGAAAUUAGUAGAAUAUGCUUUCGAGGUGUUAUAAUUUCUAGAUAUAUACCACAAUUGUCACAGUAAUACUUGUCAGUUCCUUUGUAGUUAGUUUGUGACUAUCACAACAUGUUCAUGUACAUAUUUUUUUUGUAACAGAUCUAUUACAGCUUGUCGUGAAAAGUAAAAUCCUAAAAAAGUCACCGGAAAACUUUAAAGAUAGCAACCCAAAGAAGUUGGGAGACAUAAAUAAUUCAGAUAUGGUACCAUUAUAACUGAUAUGACUCAAUUAUCAGUACAUGUGAGUCUCAUUUUCCUCCAAAAGUGGUGAUAUCAUAUCUUAGAGGAGUCUGAAUCAUUACCUGACUUGUGGUUUUCGUGCCUCAUUGCACUAAGUUCUUGUAAUGUUCUCCUAUGUAAAAUAUUUCUAGCGCUCCUUGUGUGUUGCUAUCUAUCUCCAUCAUUUUUGGCGAACUUUCUUCUACCGAGUGCCUACAUUUGUGGAGUUAGUCAAGUAAAAUUAUUACUUUACAAUGAUGAAUAAACAUGAGUCACGAUUCAUUUGUUGAUAAAUAAUUAAAGAUAGUGUUCCAUAUGUAAGGAAGUUCUCGAGUUUCAUCUAUGUCUAGAUCUGUAUAUAUUCCUGUGAGGCUGGUUUACUUUAGGUACAACCCUAUUAAAUAAAUGACAAAUCUUUUAGAUUUCUUGCAACCAUAGUCUAGCGCCGGUGUUAUCACCCGUAAAGAGGUUAAGCUGAAAAAUGCAAAUCUUAGCCAGAGUGGUGGAAGUCCAAUUAAAGUUUCAAUAAUGAGUAUGCAUCAUGCUUUCUCUGUUAUUAGAAUCAGUCGUUUUUCAUGGUUAGAAAUAUUAAUUAGAUUAUUUAAAACUACAGAGUAUAAGCAUACCUGAGCAUUAUUUAACUUUAUCUGCUGGUUUUGUAUUGUGUCCUUGGUGGAAAACUCGGAGUAGUAAUCUGGAAAACAUUCUGAUGGUCGUUUCACCCCCUUUACCUUUGUAUUGUACGCCGAAAAAAAAUCAUUUCAUUUCUCAAUGGGUGAUAUUUUGUGGAUUCCACAACCUUAAAAGUUGAUAGUGUAUAAGUGGAUACUUCUGAUAGUAGCAUGAUGUUUUUAAUAUUGAUAGUAAGAUGAUUUGUUUGGCCAUGUCAAACCAUACAGAAUAUAAUUAGCAAUUUUUGUUUAAAUUGGUGGGGCAGUCUGUAAUAGAAUGUUUAAUGAGCAAACAAUUUUGUCCAUCAAAAUCAUAUCGAGGCUCAUGAACUGAUCGGUUGCAUGAUUGAGCGAAUUGCAUAUGAUCGGUACUUUCACUUGAAUGUUCUAGUUUGUCCUGUUGUUGAUAAGCACUAAGCUUCUUGCACGCCAUAGUUUUUUGGCUGCAAAAGGAUUCGAAAAUUGUUAGUCACUACCUAUGCAGUUGUUAUCCUGAUAAGUGAUGAGCCUUGAUAAUUCAGGUGAGAGGCAGCUCAGAAGGUCUAUGUUGACUUCAUUGGGCGUCGAGUUGCAGUCACAUCACAGUUUUGGCGGUUUCAGAUGUUUGUCUGGCGUCACAGAACCCGUAGUCUUCGAUUUUGUUAGUGGUGCUCUGGUCUGGUAGCAGAUUUGGUAGCCUUCAUGAAUCGGAAGACCUUGAUUUUGCUGAUGGUUCUCUGGUCGGGUAGUAGAUUUGCUAGUUUGUCCAGUUAAGACUCUUGGGCGUGUGCUUGGUGUGUCUGGUUGGGUGUUGUUCUAUUUUCUUUCCGCACUGACUCCAUGUGGAGUUUUUUUCUCCCUUUCGAUCAAGAAUCCAUGUAGAGUUUCGUUGAUUGAGUCCGUCCCUGGGUUGUAGUUUUUUGUGCAUGUGCCCGAUUUGGAAGUAGGUGCACGUGAGGAUUCAUAUCUUGUUUUGUCUCUUGGAAGGAUGUGCACGUGAGGAUUCGUAUCUUCUUUUGUCUCGUGAUAAUGGUUGUACGUGUCAUAUGUGUCAUGUACAUAUGUGUCCUGUACUGUACGGAGGACGGGGCAUGUACUCGGUCAUUUUUUUCCUAUUUAUGUAAGCUUACACGUGAUUGUUAUAAACAGAUCUUUAUAUAAAAAAAGAUGUCUUAGACUAUUUAGACAUGACAUGUUAAGUUAGUUGUACGGGACAAUAUUUGUAUGUUACGCUGCAACUUUUAAAUCUCAGCCGUCAAUAUCUAAAAUUAACGACCGUGAUAAUUUAAUCUAUGUGGAUCAACGUGAUGGCUUGUUUGACUUCUGUCAUAAGUAUAUAAUAGAUGUUCUUAUUGCUGAUGGUACUCCUCUUCCUGUUGCUAGUCGAGGCAUUCUUUACACUUCUUCAUUUCAUGUUUCAGAUUUUUCUCAUGUUCCUUGCCUUACCAUGAACUUAUUUUCUACAAGUUAGCUUACUGAUUCAGGUUGUCGUGUGAUACGCCCAUUUUUCAUCAUGCUUUUAUAUCAAUAUUUAUUGCAUUAUGGGCUAUUAUUACACAUUAUAUCAUAAUACUUAUGUCUUUUCUGUCUUAUUUUAUAAGAUUUACACGAAGAGGGAGAAUGCUGACAGCUGGAAUUCUGCACUGGAAAAGGAGCAAACAUUAGAGACCUAUUCUGCACAAUUCCAAAAGUCCUGAAACUCCAUGAAAGUCAGUUUCAGAAUAUAUUAAAAAUAUUGGAUGAAGAAAGCACCAGAGGGGGGCCACCCCACCAGCCACGAGGGUGGAGGGCGCGCCCUACCCCCCUGGGUGCGCCCCCUGCCUCGUGGGCCACCUGGCAGGCCCCCGAUGCCCAUCUUCUGCUAUAUGGUGUCUUUUGCCCUGGAAAAAAUCAUAAGAAAGCUUUCGGGAUGAAGCGUCGCCAUCUCGAGGCGGAACCUGGGCAGAACCAAUCUAGGGCUCUGAUGGAGUUGUUCUGCCGGGGAAACAUCCCUUUGGGAGGGGGAAAUCGUUGCCAUCAUCAUCACCAUCGAUCCUCUCAUCGAGAGGGGGUCAAUCUCCAUCAACAUCUUCAACAACACCAUCUCCUCUCAAACCCUAGUUCAUCUCUUGUAUCUGAUCUUUGUCUCAAAACCUUAGAUUGGUACCCGUGGGUUGCUAGUAGUGUUGAUUACUCCCUGUAGUUGAUGCUAGUUGGUUUAUUAGGUGGAAGAUCAUAUGUUCAGAUUCUUAAUGCAUAUUAAUGCCCCUCUGAUUAUGAACAUGAAUAUGCUUUGUGAGUAGUUACGUUUGUUCCUGAGGACAUGAGAGAAGUCUUGCUAUAAGUAAUCAUGUAAAUUCUGUAUUCGUCCGUAUUUUGAUGAGAUGUAUGUUGUCUCCUCUAGUGGUGUUAUGUGAACGUCGACUACAUGACACUUCACCAUUGUUUGGGCCUAGGGGAACGCAUUGGGAAGUAAUAAGUAGAUGAUGGGUUGCUAGAGUGACAGAAAGUUAAACCCUAGUUUAUGCAUUGCUUCGUAAGGGGCUGAUUUGGAUCCAUAUGUUUCAUGCUAUGGUUAGUUUUACCUUAAUUCUUCUUUCGUAGUUGCGGAUGCUUGCGAGAGGGGUUAACCAUAAGUGGGAUGCUUGUCCAAGGAAGGGCAGUACCCAAGCAUCGGUCCACCCACAUAUCAAAUUAUCAAAGUAACGAACGCGAAUCAUAUGAGCAUGAUGAAAACUAGUUUGACAGUAAUUCCCAUGUGUCCCCGGGAGUGCUUUGCUCUAUAGAAGAGUUUGUCCAGACUUGUCCUUUGCUAUAAAAAGGAUUGGGCCACCUUGCAGCACCUUGUUUACUAUUGUUACUUGUUAUCCGUUACAAAUUACCUUAUCACAAAACUAUCUGUUACCGAUAAUUUCAGUGCUUGCAGAGAAUACCUUACUGAAAACCACUUGUCAUUUCCUUCUGCUCCUCAUUGGGUUCGACACUCUUACUUAUCGAAAGGACUACGAUAGAUCCCCUAUACUUGUGGGUCAUCAUCGCGUCAUUCUUGACGUUGAUUCUUGCACUGUCCAAGAUCGUCACAAGAAGGCUCUGGUUGGAGCUGGCCCUCACCGCCUUGACUCCCAAGGGCCUUGGGAGUUAGACUGGCUUCAUGUUCCUUCCGCUGCCACUACACUCACUAGUACAUCUGCCUUCGCCGCUUCAGCUACCAGCUCUUUCCAGUAGUGGCAUCAUCGACUUGGUCACCUUUGUGGUUCUCGGCUAUCAUAUUUAGUUCGUCGUGGUGUUCUGGGGCCUGUCUCAGGAGAUGUCUCUUUGCAGUGUCAGGGUUGUAGGCUUGGUAAACAGGUUCAGUUACCUUAUCCUACAAGUGAGGCAGUGCCUCAACGCCCUUUUGAUUUAGUUCAUUCCGAUGUGCGGGGACCGGAUCCCUUCUCUUCCAAAGGGGGCCAUCGCUGCUAUAUUAUUUUUAUAGAUGAUUUCCCUCGCUACACUUGGCUUUACUUCAUGUCUUCUCAUAGCGAGGUUCUCUCUAUUUAUGCCGCCAUGGUCCACACUCAGUUCUCUACACCAAUUCGUGUGUUUUGUGCUGAUUCUGUUGGCGAGUAUAUCUCCAAAAUGUUGUGUGGUUUUCUUGCUGAGCAGGGUACUCUUUGUUGGGGAACGUUGCAGAAAAUUAAAAUUUUUCCUACGGUUUCACCAAGAUCCAUCUAUGAGUUCAUCUAAGCAACGAGUCAAGGGAGAGAGUUUGCAUCUACAUACCACUUGUAGAUCGCGUGCAGAAGCUUGCAAGGUGAUGAUGUAGUCGUACUCGACGUGAUCCAAAUCACCGAUGACCAGUGCCGAACGGACGGCACCUCCGCGUUCAACACACGUACGGGACGGGAGACGUCUCCUCCUUCUUGAUCCAGCAAGGGGGAAGGAGAGGUUGAUGAAGAUCCAGCAGCACGACGGCGUGGUGGUGGAUGCAGGGCGUCACAGCAGCAGGGCUUCGCCGAGACUACGAGGGAGAGACGUAACGGGGGGAGAUGGAGGCGCCAGGGGCUGGUGUAUGAAGUCCCUCCUCUCCCCCACUAUAUAUAGGGGUGCCAAGGGGGGGGGGGCGCCGGCCCUAGUAGAUGAGAUCUACUAGGGGGGGCGGCGGCCUAGGGGAGGUUUCCCUCCCCCCCAAGGCACCUAGGGGUGCCUUCCACCACUAGGACUCCUCCUAGGGGGAAACCCUAGGCGCAUGGGCCUAUAGGGGCUGGUGCCCUUGGCCCAUGAAGGCCAAGGCGCACCCCCUACAGCCCAUGUGGCCCCCCGGGACAGGUGGCCCCACCCGGUGGACCCCCGGGACCCUUCCGGUGGUCCCGGUACAAUACCGAUAACCCCGAAACUUGUCCCGAUGCCCGAAAUAGCACUUCCUAUAUAUAAUUCUUUACCUCGGGACCAUUCCGGAACUCCUUGUGACGUCCGGGAUCUCAUCCGGGACUCCGAACAACAUUCGGGUUUCUGCAUAUACAUAUCUUCAUAACCCUAGCGUCACCGAACCUUAAGUGUGUAGACCCUACGGGUUCGGGAGACAUGCAGACAUGACCGAGACGCUCUCAGUCAAUAACCAUCAGCGGGAUCUGGAUACCCAUGAUGGCUCCCACAUGCUCCUCGAUGUUGUCAUCGGAUGAACCACUAUGUCGAGGAUUCGAUCAAACCUUGUAUGCAAUUCCCUUUGUCAAUCGGUACGUUACUUGCCCGAGACUCGAUCGUCGGUAUCCCAAUACCUUGUUCAGUCUCGUUACCGGCAAGUCACUUUACUCGUACCGUAAUGCAUGAUCCCGUGUCCAACACCUUGGUCACAUUGAGCUCAAUAUGAUGAUGCAUUACCGAGUGGGCCCAGAGAUACCUCUCCGUCAUACGGAGUGACAAAUCCCAGUCUCGAUCCGUGUCAACCCAACAGCUACUUUCGGAGAUACCUGUAAUGCACCUUUAUAGUCACCCAGUUACGUUGUGACGUUUGAUACACCCAAGGCACUCCUACGGUAUCCGGGAGUUACACGAUCUCAUGGUCUAAGGAAGAGAUACUUGACAUUGGCAAAGCUCUAGCAAACGAACUAAACGACCUUUGUGCUAUGCUUAGGAUUGGGUCUUGUCCAUCACAUCAUUCUCCUAAUGAUGUGAUCCCGUUAUCAAUGACAUCCAAUGUCCAUAGCUAGGAAAUCAUGACUAUCUGUUGAUCACAACGAGCUAGUCAACUAGAGGCUCACUAGGGACAUAUUGAGGUCUAUGUAUUCACACGUGUAUUACAAUUUCCGGAUAAUACAGUUAUAGCAUGAAUAAAAGACAAUUAUCAUGAACAAUGAAAUAUAAUAAUACUUUUAUUAUUGCCUCUAGGGCAUAUUUCCAACAGUCUCCCACUUGCACUAGAGUCACCAAUCUAGUUACAUUGUGAUGAAUCGAACACCCAUAGAGUUCUGGUGUUGAUCAUGUUUUGCACGCGAGAGAGGUUUAGUCAGCUGAUCUGCGACAUUCAGAUCCGUGUGCACUUUGCAAAUCUCUAUGUCUCCAUCUUGAACAUUUUCACGGAUGGAGUUGAAACGACGCUUGAUGUGCCUGGUCUUCUUGUGAAACCUGGGCUCCUUGGCGAGGGCAAUAGCUCCAGUGUUGUCACAGAAGAGUUUGAUCGGCCCCGACGCAUUGGGUAUGACUCCUAGGUCGGUGAUGAACUCCUUCACCCAAAUCGCUUCAUGUGCUGCCUCCGAGGCUGCCAUGUACUACGCUUCACACGUAGAUCCCGCCACGACGCUCUGCUUGCAGCUGCACCAGCUUACUGCUCCACCAUUCAACAUAUACACGUAUCCGGUUUGUGACUUAGAGUCAUCCAGAUCUGAGUCGAAGCUAGCGUCGACGUAACCCUUUACGACGAGCUCUUCGUCUUCUCCAUAAACGAGAAACAUGUCCUUCGUCCUUUUCAGGUACUUCAGGAUAUUCUUGACCGCUGUCCAGUGUUCCUUGCCGGGAUUACUUUGGUAUCUUGCUACCAAACUUACGGCAAGGUUUACAUCGGGUCUGGUACACAGCAUGGCAUACAUAAUAGAUCCUAUGGCUGAAGCAUAGGGGAUGACACUCAUCUCUUCUUUAUCUUUUGCCGUGGUCGGUGACUGAGCUGAGCUCAGUCUCACACCUUGUAACAUAGGCAAGAACCCCUUCUUGGACUGAUCCAUUCUGAAUCUCUUCAAAAUCUUAUCAAGGUAUGUGCUUUGUGAAAGACCUAUGAGGCGUCUCGAUCUAUCUCUAUAGAUCUUGAUGCCUAAUAUAUAAGCAGCUUCUCCAAGGUCCUUCAUUGAAAAACACUUAUUCAAGUAGGCCUUAAUGCUGUCCAGAAAUUCUAUAUCAUUUCCCAUCAAGAGUAUGUCAUCUACAUAUAAUAUGAGAAAUGCUACAGAGCUCCCACUCACUUUCUUGUAAACGCAGGCUUCUCCAUAAGUCUGCAUAAACCCAAACGCUUUGAUCAUCUCAUCAAAGCGAAUGUUCCAACUCCGAGAUGCUUGCACCAGUCCAUAAAUGGAUUGCUGGAGCUUGCAUACUUUGUUAGCGUUCCGAGGAUCGACAAAACCUUCCGGCUGCAUCAUAUACAGUUCUUCCUUAAGAUGCCCGUUAAGGAAUGCUGUUUUGACGUCCAUCUGCCAUAUCUCAUAAUCAUAGUAUGCGGCAAUUGCUAACAUGAUUCGGACGGACUUUAGCUUCGCUACGGGAGAGAAUGUCUCGUCGUAGUCAAUCCCUUGAACCUGUCGAUAACCCUUAGCGACAAGUCGAGCUUUAUAGAUGGUAAUAUUACCAUCCGCGUCCGUCUUCUUCUUAAAGAUCCAUUUGUUUUCUAUCGCUCGCCGAUCAUCGGGCAAGUCUGUCAAAGUCCAUACUUUGUUUUCAUACAUGGAUUCUAUCUCGGAUUUCAUGGCUUCAAGCCAUUUGUUGGAAUCCGGGCCCGCCAUUGCUUCUUCAUAGUUCGAAGGUUCAUUGUUGUCUAACAACAUGAUUUCCAGGACAGGGUUGCCGUACCACUCUGGUGCGGAACGUGUCCUUGUGGACCUACGAAGUUCAGCAGUAACUUGAUCCGAAGUACCUUGAUCAUCAUCAUUGUUUUCCUCUUCAGUUGGUGUGGGCAUCACAGGAACGGUUUCCUGCGCUACGCCACUUUCCUGCUCAAGAGGUAGUACUUCAUCGAGUUCUACUUUCCUCCCACUUACUUCUUUCGAGAGAAACUCUUUUUCCAGAAAGCAUCCGUUCUUGGCUACAAAGAUCUUGCCUUCGGAUCUUAAGUAGAAGGUAUACCCUACAGUUUCCUUAGGGUAUCCUAUGAAUACGCAUUUUUCCGACUUGGGUUCGAGCUUUUCAGGUUGAAGUUUCUUGACAUAAGCAUCGCAUCCCCAAACUUUCAGAAACAACAGCUUAGGUUUCUUUCCAAACCAUAAUUCAUACGGUGUCGUCUCAACGGAUUUAGACGGUGCCCUAUUUAAAGUGAAUGUAGCUGUCUCUAGAGCGUAUCCCCAAAAUGAUAGCGGUAAAUCGGUAAGAGACAUCAUAGACCGCACCAUAUCCAAUAGAGUGCGAUUACGACGUUCGGACACACCGUUUCGCUGAGGUGUUCCAGGCGGCGUGAGCUGUGAAACGAUUCCACAUUUCCUUAAGUGUGUACCAAAUUCGUGACUUAAGUAUUCUCCUCCACGAUCUGAUCGUAAGAAUUUUAUCUUUCGGUCACGUUGAUUCUCCACCUCAUUCUGAAAUUCCUUGAACUUUUCAAAGGUCUCAGACUUGUGUUUCAUUAAGUAGACAUACCCAUAUCUACUCAAGUCAUCUGUGAGAGUGAGAACAUAACGAUAUCCUCCGCGAGCCUCAACGCUCAUUGGACCGCACACAUCGGUAUGUAUGAUUUCCAACAAGUUGGUUGCUCGCUCCAUUGUUCCGGAGAACGGAGUCUUGGUCAUUUUGCCCAAGAGGCAUGGUUUGCACGUGUCAAACGAUUCAUAAUCAAGAGACUCUAAAAGUCCAUCGGCAUGGAGCUUCUUCAUGCGCUUGACACCAAUGUGACCAAGGCGGCAGUGCCACAAGUAUGUGGGACUAUCGUUAUCAACUUUAAAUCUUUUGGCAUCUACACUAUGAACAUGUGUAAUAUUACGCUCGAGAUUCAUUAAGAAUAAACCAUUGACCAUCGGAGCAUGACCAUAAAACAUAUCUCUCAUAUAAAUCGAACAACCAUUAUUCUCAGACUUAAAUGAGUAGCCAUCUCGUAUUAAACGAGAUCCUGAUACAAUGUUCAUGCUCAAACUUGGCACUAAAUAACAAUUAUUAAGGUUCAAAACUAAUCCCGUAGGUAAAUGUAGAGGCAGGGUGCCGACGGCGAUCACAUCGACUCUGGAACCAUUCCCGACGCGCAUCGUCACCUCGUCCUUUGCCAGUCUCCGUUUAUUCCGCAGCUCCUGCUGUGAGUUACAAAUAUGAGCAACGGCACCGGUAUCAAAUACCCAGGAGUUACUACGAUUACUGGUAAGGUACACAUCAAUCACAUGUAUAUCAAAUAUACCUUUGGUGUUGCCGGCCUUCUUAUCCGCUAAGUAUUUGGGGCAGUUCCGCUUCCAGUGACCCUUCCCCUUGCAAUAAAAGCACUCAGUCUCAGGCUUGGGUCCAUUCUUUGACUUCUUCCCGGUAACUGGCUUACCAGGCGCGGCAACAUCUUUGCCGUCCUUCUUGAAGUUCUUCUUACCCUUGCCCUUCUUGAACUUAGUGGUCUUAUUGACCAUCAACACUUGAUGUUCUUUCUUGAUUUCAGCCUCUGCUGACUUCAGCAUCGAGAACACUUCAGGAAUGGUCUUUUCCAUCCCCUGCAUGUUGUAGUUCAUCACAAAGCUCUUGUAGCUUGGUGGGAGCGACUGGAGGAUUCUGUCAAUGACCGCCUCAUCUGGGAGGUUAAUGUUCAGAUGGGUCAUACGGUUGUGCAACCCAGACAUCUUCAGGAUGUGCUCACUGACAGAACUGUUUUCCUCCAUCUUACAACUGUAGAACUUGUCGGAGACAUCAUAUCUCUCGACCCGGGCAUGAGCUUGAAAAACUAGUUUCAGCUCUUUGAACAUCUCAUAUGCUCCGUGGUGCUCAAAACGCUUUUGGAGCCCCGGUUCUAUGCUGUAAAGCAUGCCGCACUGAACGAGGGAGUAAUCAUCAGCACGAGACUGCCAAGCAUUCAUAAUGUCUUGGUUCUCUGGGACGGGAGCGUCACCUAGCGGUCCUUCUAGGACAUAUUGUUUCCUGGCAGCUAUGAGGAUGAUCCUCAGGUUCCGGACCCAGUCCGUAUAGUUGCUGCCAUCAUCUUUCAGCUUGGUUUUCUCUAGGAACGCGUUGAAGUUCAUGUUGACAUUAGCAUUGGCCAUUGAUCUACAAGACAUAUUUGCAAAGGUUUUAGACUAAGUUCAUGAUAAUAAAGUUCUAAUCAAAUUAUGAACUCCCACUUAGAUUAGACAUCCCUCUAGUCAUCUAAGUGUUACACGAUCCGAGUCGACUAGGCCGUGUCCGAUCAUCACGUGAGACGGACUAGUCAUCGUCGGUGAACAUUCUCAUGUUGAUCGUAUCUUCCAUAUGACUCGUGUUCGACCUUUCGGUCUCCGUGUUCCGAGGCCAUGUCUGCACAUGCUAGGCUCGUCAAGUUAACCCUAAGUGUUUUCGCUGUGUAAAACUGUCUUACACCCGUUGUAUGUGAACGUAAGAAUCCAUCACACCCGAUCAUCACGUGGUGCUUAGAAGCGACGAACUGUAGCAACGGUGCACAGUUAGGGGAGAACACUUCUUGAAAUUUUAUAAGGGAUCAUCUUAUUUACUACCGUCGUCCUAAGUAAACAAGAUGCAUAAACAUAAUAAACAUCAAAUGCAAUUAUAUAGUUGUGACAUGAUAUGGCCAAUAUCAUAUAGCUCCAUUGAUCUUCAUCUUCGGGGCUCCAUGAUCAUCUUGUCACCGGCUUGACACCAUGAUCUCCAUCAUCAUGAUCUCCAUCAUCGUGUCUUCAUGAAGUUUUCACGCCAACGACUACUUCUACUUCUAUGACUAACGUUUAGCAAUAAAGUAAAGUAGUUUACAUGACGUUAUUCAAUGACACGCAGGUCAUACAAAAAAAUAAAGACAACUCCUAUGGCUCCUGCCGGUUGUCAUACUCAUCGACAUGCAAGUUGUGAAUCCUAUUACAAAGAACAUGAUCUCAUACAUCACAAUUCAUCAUUCAUCACAACUUCUGGCCAUAUCACAUCACAUGAUCAAUCGCUGCAAAAACAAGUUAGACGUCCUCUAAUUGUUGUUGCAUCUUUUACGUGGCUGCAAUUGGAUUCUAGCAAGAACGUUUUCUUACCUACGAAUCACCACAACGUGAUUUUGUCAACUUCUAUUUACCCUUCAUAAGGGCCCUGUUCAUCGAUUCCGCUCCAACUAAGGUGGGAGAGACAGACACCCGCCAGCCACCUUAUGCAACUAGUGCAUGUCAGUCGGUGGAACCGGUCUCAGUAAGCGUACGUGUAAGGUUGGUCCGGGCCGCUUCAUCCCACAAUACCGUUGAGCAAGAAAAGACUAGUAGAGGCAAGUAAGAUGACAAAAUCCACGCCCACAACAAAAUUGUGUUCUACUCGUGCAAAGAGAACUACGCAUAGACCUAGCUCAUGAUGCCACUGUUGGGGAACGUUGCAGAAAAUUAAAAUUUUUCCUACGGUUUCACCAAGAUCCAUCUAUGAGUUCAUCUAAGCAACGAGUCAAGGGAGAGAGUUUGCAUCUACAUACCACUUGUAGAUCGCGUGCGGAAGCUUGCAAGGUGAUGAUGUAGUCGUACUCGACGUGAUCCAAAUCACCGAUGACCAGCGCCGAACGGACGGCACCUCCGCGUUCAACACACGUACGGGACGGGAGACGUCUCCUCCUUCUUGAUCCAGCAAGGGGGAAGGAGAGGUUGAUGAAGAUCCAGCAGCACGACGGCGUGGUGGUGGAUGCAGGGCGUCACAGCAGCAGGGCUUCGCCGAGACUACGAGGGAGAGACGUAACGGGGGGAGAUGGAGGCGCCAGGGGCUGGUGUAUGAAGUCCCUCCUCUCCCCCACUAUAUAUAGGGGUGCCAAGGGGGGGGGCGCCGGCCCUAGUAGAUGAGAUCUACUAGGGGGGGCGGCGGCCUAGGGGAGGUUUCCCUCCCCCCCAAGGCACCUAGGGGUGCCUUCCACCACUAGGACUCCUCCUAGGGGGAAACCCUAGGCGCAUGGGCCUAUAGGGGCUGGUGCCCUUGGCCCAUGAAGGCCAAGGAGCACCCCCUACAGCCCAUGUGGCCCCCCGGGACAGGUGGCCCCACCCGGUGGACCCCCGGGACCCUUCCGGUGGUCCCGGUACAAUACCGAUAACCCCGAAACUUGUCCCGAUGCCCGAAAUAGCACUUCCUAUAUAUAAUUCUUUACCUCCGGACCAUUCCGGAACUCCUUGUGACGUCCGGGAUCUCAUCCGGGACUCCGAACAACAUUCGGGUUUCUGCAUAUACAUAUCUUCAUAACCCUAGCGUCACCGGACCUUAAGUGUGUAGACCCUACGGGUUCGGGAGACAUGCAGACAUGACCGAGACGCUCUCAGUCAAUAACCAUCAGCGGGAUCUGGAUACCCAUGAUGGCUCCCACAUGCUCCUCGAUGUUGUCAUCGGAUGAACCACUAUGUCGAGGAUUCGAUCAAACCCUGUAUGCAAUUCCCUUUGUCAAUCGGUACGUUACUUGCCCGAGACUCGAUCGUCGAUAUCCCAAUACCUUGUUCAGUCUCGUUACCGGCAAGUCACUUUACUCGUACCGUAAUGCAUGAUCCCGUGUCCAACACCUUGGUCACAUUGAGCUCAAUAUGAUGAUGCAUUACCGAGUGGGCCCAGAGAUACCUCUCCGUCAUACGGAGUGACAAAUCCCAGUCUCGAUCCGUGUCAACCCAACAGCUACUUUUGGAGAUACCUGUAAUGCACCUUUAUAGUCACCCAGUUACGUUGUGACGUUUGAUACACCCAAGGCACUCCUACGGUAUCCGGGAGUUACACGAUCUCAUGGUCUAAGGAAGAGAUACUUGACAUUGGCAAAGCUCUAGCAAACGAACUAAACGACCUUUGUGCUAUGCUUAGGAUUGGGUCUUGUCCAUCACAUCAUUCUCCUAAUGAUGUGAUCCCGUUAUCAAUGACAUCCAAUGUCCAUAGCCAGGAAAUCAUGACUAUCUGUUGAUCACAACGAGCUAGUCAACUAGAGGCUCACUAGGGACAUAUUGAGGUCUAUGUAUUCACACGUGUAUUACGAUUUCCGGAUAAUACAGUUAUAGCAUGAAUAAAAGACAAUUAAUGAAAUAUAAUAAUACUUUUAUUAUUGCCUCUAGGGCAUAUUUCCAACACUCUUGCGCAGUUCUCUUGUCCUGGUGCUCACGCUCAGAAUGGCGUGGCUGAGUGCAAGCAUAACCACCUUCUUGAGACAGCUCGUGCGAUGAUGUUUGCCGCCUCUCUUCCGCCUCAUUUCUGGGCUGAGGUUGUCUCCACUUCCACAUAUCUCAUAAACAUUCAACCCUCAUCUGCUCUACAGUGAGGUAUUCAUCUAGAGCGUCUUUUUGAUCAUUAUGCUGAUUAUUUGCUCUUCGAUUGUUUGGUUGUGUUUGUUAUGUUCUCCUUGCCCCCCGAGAACGCACCAAACUAACUGCUCAGUCCGUCGAGUGUGUUUUUCUGGGCUACAGUGAUGAGCAUAAGGGUUAUCGGUGUUGGGAUCCUAUCGGUCAACGGAUCCGUAUUUCUAGGAAUGUGACUUUUGAUGAAUCUCGUCCCUUCUAUCCACGACCAUCCUAUUUGACCUUUUCAGUAGAGGAUAUAUCUUUUCUCACGUUUCCUGAUACACCUCCCUCUGUGCCUCAUUUUCCUACUCCUUCUCGUCCCACUAUUGCAGACCUGACACCGUCUUCUCCUAUCGUUCCUUCGCCUUCCUUAUUGCAUGACACCCCACCUUCAUCACCGAUGUCUUCUCCAUCUCCAUCACCUCUGGUGGUUCCUUCUCAUCCCACUUUUCCGUUUCAUUAUACUCAUCGUUGACGUGUUAUGGAUGAAUCUACUGACGUGCCAUCUACUUCUGGUGCACCAUCUUCCUCGUCCCAGUCGACUUAUGGUCUUCGGGCUCAACCUUGCCUUCCUCCUGACCACUAUUCUCCUAAAAAAUUUGGCCUUUUGAUUGUACUUGGGCCUACCUCUUAUCGCGAUGCUGUUGUUCAUCCUGAAUGGCAGUUUGCGAUGGCAGAGGAGAUUGCUGCACUUGAGCGCAACAACACAUGGGAUCUGGUUUCUCUUCCUCCCCGUAUUUGUCCCAUCACUUGUAAGUGGGUCUAUAAGAUUAAAACUUGCUCUGAUGGUUCUCUUGAGCGUUAUAAAGCUCGUCUUGUGGCUUGUGGCUUUCAGUAGGAGCAUGGUCGUGAUUAUGAUGAGACUUUUGCUCCUGUGGCCCAUAUGACCAUUGUCCGCACACUUCUCGCCGUGGCCUCUGUUCGCCACGGGUGUGUGUCACAGCUUGAUGUUAAAAAUGCCUUUCUUAAUGAUGAGUUGCGUGGGAGGUUUAUAUGCAGCCACCACCUGGGUAUUCAGCUCCUGAUGGCAUGGUUUGUCAUCAUCGUCGCUCUCUAUAUGGCCUUAAGCAAGCCCCUCGUGCUUGGUUUGAGUGUUUUGCCUCUAUGGUCACCGUUGCUGGGUUUUCACCCAAUGAUCAUGAUCCAGUUUUUCACCCAGUGAUCACGAUCCAGUGUUGUUUGUCCACCUUUCUGCUUGUGGUCGCACUCUUCUUCUUCUAUAUGUUGAAGACAUGAUCAUCACCGGCGACAAUUCUGAGUACAUUGCCUUUGUCAAGGCACGUCUUAAUGAGCAGUUCCUUAUGUCUGAUCUUAGUCCGCUUCGUUAUUUUCUUGGGAUUGAGGUUUUCUUCACCUCUGAUGCCUAUUUUAUUUCCCAAGAAAAGUAUAUCCAGGAUCUUCUUACUCGUGCGACUCUUACUGAUGAGCACACUACUGAGACUCCUAUGGAGCUCAAUGUUCACCUUCGUGCUUCUGAUGGUGUGCCCUUGUCUGAUCCGACAUGUUAUCGUCAUCUUGUUGGGAGUCUUGUGUAUCUUGUUGUCACUCGUCCGGAUAUCUCCUAUCCUGUCCAUAUUCUGAGUCAGUUUGUUUCAACUCCCACUUCAGUUCACUAUAGUCACCUUCUUUGUGUUCUAUGAUAUCUUCGUGGCACGAUCUCUCGUUGUCUCGCCCCGUUCCAGCUCGUUACAGCUCCAGGCCUAUUCGGAUGCUACGUGGGCUAGUGAUCCUACAUAUCGCCGUUCACUUUCUACCUACUGGUUCUUUCUUGGUGGUUCCCUCAUUUCCUGGAAGAUGAAGAAACAUACUGCGGUUUCUCGUUCGAAUGCAGAGGCUGAGUUGCGAGCUAUGGCUCUUCCGACGACAGAGAUGACCUGGUUACAAUAGUUACUGGAGGAUUUUGGUGUUUCUGUUACUACACCUACCACCCUCCUGUCGGACAGCACAUGUGCUAUCAGUAUUGUGCGGGACCCUGUGAAGCAUGAUCUUACCAAACACAUUGGUGUUGAUGCUUCUUAUGUGUGCGCCGCUGUGCGGGACCAUGUUCUUGCUCUUCAGUAUGUGCCUUCUGAGUUACAUCUCGCGGACUUCUUUACGAAGGCUCAGACUAGAGCGCAAAAUGGUUCACCUCUCCAAAUUCAGUGUUGUGGAUCCACCAUGAGUUUGAGGGGGAUGGUGUUAGAGUUAUAUUAAUAUUAUCUUUUGGCCUUUUCCAUUCUAGUCUAUUGGCAUCCUCUUGUAGCCUUUUGGCAUCAUCAUGUAUGUGUAUAUAUGUUGGAUUCGGCCUCCUAAUAAUACAAGUUCCAUAUCCAUAACAGCAGGGAGCUGGAGCGCCUCCUUGCGUCGCUUUCGACAGGGCACCGACGGCCUGUCGUGCAUAAGGUCGACAUGGCGAGCGCGAGCUAGAGCCGGGUUGGGCGAGAUCGAGGUCAAGAAUGCAGACACCUCGGCUCGGCGUCGACAUGGCAGAAGCAGUCCCUUCUUGGAUUCCAGAGAGCUCAAUCAGGUCGUCGGAGGCACUCGCCCGGUCCUCUGCAGUGCACAGUUCCUUGGUGAGUGCGGCAUGCAGCCUAUCCUAGCAGUAGACAGUGACCUGAGCGCCACCAUGGUCGUGGUACACGGCGACAAAGUGUCGCGGGAAGGCGGAAUGAGGUCGCUGAUAUGGUAGAAGCAGGGGACGGCGGCAAUGGCUUCCUCCAUCUCCGGGCAAUGUCCGCAGAAGGACUGAAGAGUUGAGACAUGAGAAGCUCCUGCAUGUGCCACCGGGGACCGUCGCGGUGUCGGUGCUCGGUGGAAACCAACGUGGAGAGGAGAGUGGGCGGUCCAACAUCGGCAGAGGCGAAGAAGAGGCCCUCGAAUCAGCGGAGGUGAUGCUAGCUGCUGCUGUCGCUGGCGACGUAGCAGGUGCUCCCUCAUGCGGACCCCUCUUCAUCAAGCCGGCAUCCCAACGAUGGCUACGUAGCAGGCUAUCCGAGUGCACGGCCGUCUCCGCGCGCGUCAACCUCUGUAGCCAGCCACCACUCAUGCUCGGCCUGCUGCCGGUGACGCCCAUCUCCAGCGCCGGCAACCGGAACGCCCAUAGUCCCACCAAUGGCCGACUCCAGGUUGUCGGCCCUGACGUCGCUCACCACGUCCAUGUCGUUCUGCGUCAGGACUCUUCCCCGGCCGGUGAUGAGGCGGUAGGCCUCAUUGUAGCCGAGCUUGUUGCAGCCGAGCACGGGCCUGUCGCGGCCGUCGUAGGCCUGCACUUGCAUGCACGGCUUCUCCUCCGCCGUCAGGGCCUUGUUCAGCGGGAACGGCUAGCCAUGGCGCCAGCUCUCUCUUGCAUGGCAUGAGCAGGUGGUGCUGCUUUAGCACCCGGUCUGUCUUGCGCGCUUCCCAUAGACACACACCAUUCGGGACGCGCCCAGGUCCCUGAUGUUCCAUAGGGCGGCGUGCACCACGCCGAUCGCGUCAAGCGAUGGGUCGUCCUCCGUGGCUGACGCUGUCUCAGAACACGCGGUCGACCAGAGACGACACUUCUUGCUUGGAGAAGAUUAGGCCUGUUAGACUAUGUAUAGCUUCUGUACUUAUGUACGUAUUGUAACACAUCCAUUAUAUAUAAUGAGAUAAGCCACCCCUAGAGGGUUGUGAUGGUUCCCCAAAACUUAUUGUCUUACAUGGUAUCACGCUAGGUUACGAUCGCUUCCGCUUCCAAACCCUAAUACCCGCACCGCCGCCUUCACCGCCGCCGCCUUCACCGCCGCCAUGUCGAGCGCCGCCACCACCGGUUCCACUGCUGCGGGGUUCCUCCCGGCCUCUCUUGCGGCUCUGCUCAACCUCCCGCUCGAUGCCGUCGCCGUUCCGGCUCCGAUCGGGACCAGGAACAUCGGCUCCGUCUACUCCACGCCGACGGCGCCCUCGCUUGGGCGCGACCUCGUGGUCCACACCGCGGCGCCGCCGUCCGCUGCGGACUCCGCGGGCGUCGUCCCGCCGCUCCUGCCACAAGCGGAUCACACCGCCCCGCUGGCGGGGUUGGCGGCGUCCGCCCCGGCCGCGGGCCUUGCGGCGUCCGACCCGGCCGCGAGCUUUGCGGCAUCCGCCCUGGCUGCGGUCCCGUCUCCUCCCGCAUCGGCUUUGGUGCCUCCGGCUGCCUCCAUGGUGUUUGCACCCUAGGCAGCCCCCUCGAUGGGAUCGUCUUCGCCGCCGCCGUUUCACUUCGGUCAUCUCAUCACCAUCAAGCUCUCCGCCGACAACUACAUCUUCUGGCGUGCGCAGGUUCUCCCGCUCUUGGGGAGUCACUACCUGCUAGGCUACGUCGACGGAUCGCUUCCCUGCCCACCCGCACUGGUAGACAGCGUGCACGGUCCGGUCUACAAUCCGGCCCAUCGCGUCUGGACGGAGCAGGACCAGGCGAACCUCUCCUCCAUCCAGGGGUCGCUCUCGCCGGCAGUUGCCGGACUUGUUGUCUUCGCGAAGACGUCUCAUGAGGCCUGGACCAUCCUUGAGCGAACCUUUGCCGCGCAGUCCCAGGCUCGUGUCUCUGCACUCCGUCGUCAGCUUGGAGAGUGUCAGAAGCUUGACUCCACUGCCACUGAGUUCUACAACAAGGUCAAGGGCCUCGCCGACACAUUGGCCUCCAUUGGACAUCCCCUCACCGACUCCGAGUUCAACUCGUUUAUUGUCAAUGGUCUUGAUGAGGAGUAUGAUGCCUUAGUCGAGAUCAUCAACGAGUGGGGCAACUCGACACCCAUGCUGGCACACGAGGUUUUCUCUCGGCUCCUUCUCACUGAGCAACGGGUCGAGACACGCCGCUCCAGGGGCACUGGCUCCCUCUCGGCCAACGCCGCCACCAAGGGUGGCCGCUCUUCUUCAUCACCCCGGUCUCCCUUGGGGCUGCCACCGUCGCCCACCUCGGCCCCCCACCUACUGCGACCUUACCGGGGGCUGGCGGUCCACGUGUGUGCCAGCUUUGUGGCCGCGAUGGGCACUGGGCCUCCAAGUGUCAUAAGCGCUUCCAGCGAAGCUUCCUUGGUCUUGGCAAUGACGGCAAAGAUACACGCAACAAUGCCCGUCAGGUCGCCAUGGCUGAUCGUCCCGCGCCGCAGAAGCAACAGGGACACACUCAGUCCUACUCCAUCGAUCCACACUGGUACAUGGACUCUGGGGCGACAGAGCAUCUGACCAGCGAGAUGGGGAAGCUUCACACUUGUGAACCCUAUCAUGGCUCCGACAAGAUCCACACCGCCAAUGGAGCAGGUAUGCACAUCUCUCAUAUUGGUCAAGCAUCUCUUCUCACUAGACAUGCCAAUAGGAGUCUUCAGCUUCGCAAUGUUCUUCGAGUUCCAUCUGUGACCCGUAAUCUUCCUUCAGUUCCUAAACUCACACGUGAUAAUAAUGUGCUUUGUGAAUUUCACCCUUUUGAUCUUUUUAUUAAGGAUCGGGGCACGAGGGACAUUCUUCUUAGUGGGCGGUUGUGCCAGGGCCUCUACCGUCUGGAGCAUCCUGGCGUCGCCCGUGUUUUCAGUGGAGUUCGGGUCUCUCCGUCACGCAGGCAUGCUCGUCUUGGUCACCCGGCCACACCUAUUGUCCGUCAUAUUUUGCGUCGUCAUGAGCUUCCUAGUUUGUCUAGUAAUAAAGAUGUAGCAGUGUGUGAUGCUUGUCAGCAGGGGAAGAGUCAUCAACUUCCUUUUUCGGAGUCCAGUCGUGAGGUGAAACAUCCUUUAGAACUUGUGUUUUCAGAUGUAUGGGGUCCUGCUCAGACUUCUGUCAGUGGUCAUAAUUACUAUAUCAGUUUCGUUGAUGCUUAUAGUCGCUUUACCUGGCUUUACCUUAUUAAACGCAAAUCUGAUGUGUUUGAUAUUCUUGUUCAGUUUCAAAAACAUGUUGAACGUCUUCUCAAGCACAAAAUUGUUCAUGUCCAGUCGGACUGGGGGGGCGAGUAUCGCAACCUCAACUCCUUCUUUCAGUCGCUUGGGAUAGCUCAUCGUUUAGCAUGUCCACAUACACAUCAGCAGAAUGGUUCAGUCGAACGUAAGCAUCGUCAUAUUGUUGAAGCUGGUCUUACUCUUUUGGCCCAUGCAUCUGUUCCGUUUCGGUUUUGGAGUGAUGCUUUCACCACUGCAUGCUUUCUCAUCAACCGUACUCCCACUCGUGUUUUAAACAUGAAGACUCCCAUUGAGGUUCUCCUUAAUGAACAACCUGAUUAUACCUUCUUCAAGGUAUUUGGGUGUGCUUGCUGGCCGCAUCUUCGUCCAUAUAAUAAGCGCAAGCUUGAGUUUCGUUCUAAGAAGUGUGUUUUUCUUGGCUAUAGCUCUCUUCAUAAAGGUUACAAAUGUCUUCAUGUUCCCACUAAUCGUGUCUAUAUAUCUCGGGACGUCGUGUUUGAUGAGCAUGUUUUUCCCUUUGCCAAACUUCCUGUGUCCACUGUCGAACCACCAUCUCUGCAUUCAUCCUCUGUUGCUUCUGACCAAUUUGAUGAUGUUGCAUACUCUCCUUUGCUGUUACCUAACCAUGGUGCCGGAACCGGACGUGGGGCUCGUUUGGAGCUGUUGGAGGAUUCACCAUCAUCAUCGCCGCCUUCUGAUGGGCACGUCGAUCGCCCUAUGUUGCAUGGCAUCGAUUCGCGUGCCCAUGCAUGGUCACCCGAAGAGCCCGUCGCGCCGAGCAUCUCCACUGCUCGGUCCGCUACGCCAGCGACCGCCGAGUCUCCAGCGGCUCGGCCCUCUUCGCCAGCGGCCGCCGAGUCUUCAGCGGCUCGGCCUGUCACGCCGUCUUCGCCCGCGGCUCGGCCCGUCACGCCGUCUUCGCCUGCAGCUCGGGUCCGCGACGCCGUCCUCACGUCGCCUUCAUCCGCGGAUCGGCCCGCGACACCGGCCGCGCCACGGCCCACUAUGUCGGGCUUGCCAUCGGCCCGGUAUGUGACGCCGGCGUCGCCAGCUGCUUCGUCUGCUCUGCCGGUUUCGCCAGUGGGCCGGCCUUCUUCGCCGACCGAGCCCGAGGCUAUUGUGUCUGGCUCCUUGUCACCGGCUGACUCGUCAAUGUCGCCGUCCUCCAGCCCAUUGCAGGCUGCUCCGUCGACCUCGGUGGUUCCUGUGUCCCGACCACAUACACGCAGUCGCAGUGGCAUUUUCAAACCUAAGGAACGUAAGGAUGGUACGGUUGCUUGGUUGGCUGCUUGUUUGGCUGCUGCUGUUGCGGAUCCAUCUUCUGAGCCUCGCUCAUAUCAGGCUGCCCUGCGCAUUCCACAUUGGCGAGAGGCUAUGGAGCAGGAGUUUCAUGCUCUCCUUCGUAACAAGACAUGGACUCUCGUUCCUCCACCACCACGGGUAAAUGUUAUUGACUCAAAAUGGGUAUUCAAAGUGAAGAAGCAUUCGGAUGGAUCUAUUGAGCGUUACAAAGCGCGACUUGUUGCUCGCGGUUUUCGGCAGCGCCAUGGUCUUGACUAUGAGGACACCUUCAGUCCUGUCGUCAAGCCUACCACUAUUCGGCUUCUUCUCUCCAUUGAUGUUUCUCGUGGUUGGUCACUUCGUCAACUUGAUGUGCAGAAUGCUUUUCUACAUGGAUUUUUGGAGGAAGAGGUUUAUAUGAAACAGCCGCCUGGUUUCUCUGAUCCUGAUCGUCCUGACUAUAUCUGUCGUCUCUCCAAAGCACUAUAUGGUUUGAAGCAAGCUCCUCGUGCCUGGCAUGCCCGCCUUGCCUCUGCCCUUCGUGCUCAUGGGUUUGUGCCGUCCACUGCUGACACUUCAUUAUUUCUUCUACAGAAGCCAGAAGUCACCAUGUAUCUUUUGGUAUAUGUCGAUGAUAUUAUCCUUGUCAGCUCUUCUCAGUAUGCUGCUGAUGCUCUUGUCUGCUCUCUUGGUGCUGAUUUUGCGGUCAAAGAUCUUGGGAAGCUUCACUACUUUCUUGGAGUUGAGGUCACUUCUCGUGCUACUGGUCUUGUCCUUACGCAGAAGAAGUACUCCUUGGAGUUGUUACAAAGAGCGGGCAUGCUGAAGUGCAAACCGACCACCACACCCAUGUCGUCUACCGACAAGAUAACAGCUGUUGAUGGUGAGCUUUUGUCUCCUGCGGAUGCCACAGAGUACAGGAGCAUUGUUGGUGGACUUCAGUACUUGACGAUCACGCGACCAGAUAUCUCUUAUGCUGUUAACAGGGUUUGUCAGUAUCUUCAGGCUCCCAGAGAUACUCAUUGGGCUGCUGUUAAACGCAUUCUUCGUUAUGUUCAGUUCACCCUAACAUUUGGUAUGCAUAUUUGGCCGACUUCCUCUCGGGUCCUUUCGGCCUUCUCUGAUGCAGAUUGGGCUGGUAGCCCAGAUGACAGGCGAUCCACGGGGGGUUAUGCGGUAUUCUUUGGCCCUAAUUUGAUCGCCUGGAGUGCUCGGAAACAGGCUACUAUCUCACGUAGCAGUACUGAAGCUGAGUACAAGGCUGUGGCUAAUGCUACUGCAGAGAUUAUUUGGGUGCAGUCUUUGCUUCAGGAGUUGGGUUUGUCUCAACCACAGCCUCCUAUUCUUUGGUGUGAUAACAUCGGUGCUACAUACCUUUCUGCAAAUCCAGUAUUUCAUGCCCGAACGGAACACAUUGAAGUUGACUAUCACUUUGUACGGGAACGCGUAUCACAGAAGCAACUCCAGAUCAAGUUUAUCUCAUCUAAGGAUCAACUUGCAGACAUCUUCACUAAGCCUUUACCUCUACCACAGUUUGAGGCUUGUAGGCGCAAUCUUACCCUUCUCAGUUCUUUAGAAAGUGGCUAAGAUUGAGGGAGGGUGUUAGACUAUGUAUAGCUUCUGUACUUAUGUACGUAUUGUAACACAUCCAUUAUAUAUAAUGAGAUAAGCCACCCCUAGAGGGUUGUGCUGGUUCCCCAAAACUUAUUGUCUUACAAGGCCCGGCGGAAGGCGACAUGAGGCCGGAGAGCGAUUUGUAGCAGGAACACGAGCACGGCCGUUUUGUACGCGAUUGAUGAAGGCUGCUUGGAUUCCAGGAGGACGACCCCGCCGGCCUCGACCAGAACGCACAACGCUAGGAGGAACCAUCAACGCAGAUGAGUAAGCAUUACAAACCGUGAUGGAUGAAACAGCAGUAGGAAGGCCCAUAUUUAUAGGAGAUCCGUUAGAAUUGAAAACCAAAUUGAACACAACAUCCUGGACGCGAAACGACCAGAACAACCCAUCUAGGCCAAUGGCGCACGUGUACUGUAUCACAGUCAAAAUGCAAUCAGCUAGUGUCAUGGCGGCCUUCCAGUAGAACAAUGAAGCACAUGGGAAAAAGUGGCUGAUCCGCCGAUGCAAACACGGCGGCAUGCAGGCACACACAUGCAUGCAGGAGAAAGAAAAUAAGAGGAAGGAAAAAAAACAAAGCGGCAGACGGGCAUGCACUGAAUGACAACAAAACACUGGUAUACACACAUGCAGCCCAAUGAGAACUGAAGAAUCCGGCAGAAAUGCACAUCAAACUGAAAACCUGCUAGAGACACCCAAUAACGUACCUGCUCAUAUCCCCUAGUAAAUAACGUGUCACUGCCUCAUUGACCAACUUUUCUCUGAUAGAAAAAGUAAAAAAAAACAGGAAAAAAGAAACCUAGCAAGGUUUAGUAUAUUAAGAAUAAGUGAAGCACUAGAGCAACUGCCUAGCUCAAAAGAUAUGAGUGAAGAACUUAGAGUAUUCUAAUAAAUUUACGAUUAAUGUGUGUCCCUCUCAAAAGGUGUGUACAACAAGG
rnacentral:lncRNA from 1 species